CCAUUAUCUCCAAUUGCAUCC
rnacentral:snRNA from 1 species